ACGUCCUGCUCGUGAUCGUCUUCUCAACCUUCACUUGCAGGCGGUAGGACGAAGGGCUCCCGCGGGGACGUGACUCGGGGGAGCCCUUC
rnacentral:ncRNA from 1 species